rnacentral:tRNA from 1 species
GUGGAUAUAGUUCAGGUGGCAAGAACGCCAGAUUGUGGCUCUCGGAGGUCGUGGGUUCAAGUCCCACUAUCCACCCCA